AAAGUUGUUGCAGUUAAAAAGCUCGUAGUUGGAUUUCGGAAGGUCCUUAGUAAUCCGCCCCUUCGGGGAGCGGGUUGCUGGCCUCCUAUGUUCCUAACGGUCCUCGUCCGCGAGGGCGGGGAAUCAACCGCUAGGAUCGUUUACUUUGAGGAAAUUAGAGUGUUCAAAGCAGGCGUAACUCGCCUCCGAAUACGUUAGCAUGGGAUAAUGGAAUACGACUUCGGUCUUGUUUCGUUGGUUUCGCUUGGCUGAAGUAAUGAUUGAUAGGGACAGUUGGGGGCAUUAGUAUUUAGUUGUCAGAGGUGAAAUUCUAGGAUUUACUAAAGACUGACCAAUGCGAAAGCAUUUGCCAAGGAUGUUUUCAUUAAUCAAGAACGAAAGUAGGGGGAUCGAAGACGAUCAGAUACCGUCGUAGUCUCUACCGUAAACUAUGCCGACCAGGGAUCCGGAGAGUUUGCAUGGAUGACUCCCCGGGCACCUUGUGAGAAAUCAUAAGUGUUUGGGUUUUGGGGGGAGUAUGGUCGCAAGGCUGAAACUUAAAGGAAUUGACGGAAGGGCACCACCAGGAGUGGAACCU
rnacentral:rRNA from 1 species